rnacentral:SRP_RNA from 1 species
GCUGGGCGUGGUGGUGUGUGCCUGUAGUCCCAGCUAUUCGGGAGGUUGAGGCAGGAGAAUCACAUGAGUCUGGGACGAGGAGGUUGCAGUGAGCAGAGAUCACGCCACUGCACUCUAGCACUUCAGCCUGGGUGACAGAGUGAGACUCCGUCAAAAAAAAANNNNNNNNNNUUUUUUUUUGACGGAGUCUCACUCUGUCACCCAGGCUGAAGUGCUAGAGUGCAGUGGCGUGAUCUCUGCUCACUGCAACCUCUGCCUCCCAGGUUCAAGGGAUUCUCCUGCCUCAG